GGUCAAGUGAAGAAGCGCAUACGGUGGAUGCCUUGGCAGUCAGAGGCGAUGAAAGACGUGGUAGCCUGCGAAAAGCUUCGGGGAGUCGGCAAACAGACUUUGAUCCGGAGAUGUCUGAAUGGGGGAACCCAGCCAUCAUAAGAUGGUUAUCUUGUACUGAAUACAUAGGUGCAAGAGGCGAACCAGGGGAACUGAAACAUCUAAGUACCCUGAGGAAAAGAAAUCAACCGAGAUUCCCUUAGUAGUGGCGAGCGAACGGGGACUAGCCCUUAAGUUGAUUUGAGAUUAGCGGAACGCUCUGGAAAGUGCGGCCAUAGUGGGUGAUAGCCCUGUACGCGAAAAUCUCUUAUCAAUGAAAUCGAGUAGGACGGAGCACGAGAAACUUUGUCUGAAUAUGGGGGGACCAUCCUCCAAGGCUAAAUACUACUGACUGACCGAUAGUGAACUAGUACCGUGAGGGAAAGGCGAAAAGAACCCCGGAGAGGGGAGUGAAAUAGAUCCUGAAACCGUAUGCGUACAAGCAGUGGGAGCAGACUUGUUCUGUGACUGCGUACCUUUUGUAUAAUGGGUCAGCGACUUAUUUUCAGUGGCGAGCUUAACCGAAUAGGGGAGGCGUAGCGAAAGCGAGUCUUAAUAGGGCGUCUAGUCGCUGGGAAUAGACCCGAAACCGGGCGAUCUAUCCAUGGGCAGGUUGAAGGUUGGGUAACACUAACUGGAGGACCGAACCGACUACCGUUGAAAAGUUAGCGGAUGACCUGUGGAUCGGAGUGAAAGGCUAAUCAAGCUCGGAGAUAGCUGGUUCUCCUCGAAAGCUAUUUAGGUAGCGCCUCAUGUAUCACUGUAGGGGGUAGAGCACUGUUUCGGCUAGGGGGUCAUCCCGACUUACCAAACCGAUGCAAACUCCGAAUACCUACAAGUGCCGAGCAUGGGAGACACACGGCGGGUGCUAACGUCCGUCGUGAAAAGGGAAACAACCCAGACCGUCAGCUAAGGUCCCAAAGUUAUGGUUAAGUGGGAAACGAUGUGGGAAGGCUUAGACAGCUAGGAGGUUGGCUUAGAAGCAGCCACCCUUUAAAGAAAGCGUAAUAGCUCACUAGUCGAGUCGGCCUGCGCGGAAGAUGUAACGGGGCUCAAACCAUACACCGAAGCUACGGGUAUCAUCUUCGGAUGAUGCGGUAGAGGAGCGUUCUGUAAGCCUGUGAAGGUGAGUUGAGAAGCUUGCUGGAGGUAUCAGAAGUGCGAAUGCUGACAUGAGUAACGACAAUGGGUGUGAAAAACACCCACGCCGAAAGACCAAGGUUUCCUGCGCAACGUUAAUCGACGCAGGGUUAGUCGGUCCCUAAGGCGAGGCUGAAAAGCGUAGUCGAUGGAAAACAGGUUAAUAUUCCUGUACUUCUGGUUAUUGCGAUGGAGGGACGGAGAAGGCUAGGCCAGCUUGGCGUUGGUUGUCCAAGUUUAAGGUGGUAGGCUGAGAUCUUAGGUAAAUCCGGGAUCUUAAGGCCGAGAGCUGAUGACGAGUUAUCUUUUAGAUGACGAAGUGGUUGAUGCCAUGCUUCCAAGAAAAGCUUCUAAGCUUCAGGUAACCAGGAACCGUACCCCAAACCGACACAGGUGGUUGGGUAGAGAAUACCAAGGCGCUUGAGAGAACUCGGGUGAAGGAACUAGGCAAAAUGGCACCGUAACUUCGGGAGAAGGUGCGCCGGUGAGGGUGAAGGACUUGCUCCGUAAGCUCAUGCCGGUCGAAGAUACCAGGCCGCUGCGACUGUUUAUUAAAAACACAGCACUCUGCAAACACGAAAGUGGACGUAUAGGGUGUGACGCCUGCCCGGUGCCGGAAGGUUAAUUGAUGGGGUUAGCUAACGCGAAGCUCUUGAUCGAAGCCCCGGUAAACGGCGGCCGUAACUAUAACGGUCCUAAGGUAGCGAAAUUCCUUGUCGGGUAAGUUCCGACCUGCACGAAUGGCGUAACGAUGGCGGCGCUGUCUCCACCCGAGACUCAGUGAAAUUGAAAUCGCUGUGAAGAUGCAGUGUAUCCGCGGCUAGACGGAAAGACCCCGUGAACCUUUACUAUAGCUUUGCACUGGACUUUGAAUUUGCUUGUGUAGGAUAGGUGGGAGGCUUUGAAGCGUGGACGCCAGUCUGCGUGGAGCCAACCUUGAAAUACCACCCUGGCAACUUUGAGGUUCUAACUCAGGUCCGUUAUCCGGAUCGAGGACAGUGUAUGGUGGGUAGUUUGACUGGGGCGGUCUCCUCCUAAAGAGUAACGGAGGAGUACGAAGGUGCGCUCAGACCGGUCGGAAAUCGGUCGUAGAGUAUAAAGGCAAAAGCGCGCUUGACUGCGAGACAGACACGUCGAGCAGGUACGAAAGUAGGUCUUAGUGAUCCGGUGGUUCUGUAUGGAAGGGCCAUCGCUCAACGGAUAAAAGGUACUCCGGGGAUAACAGGCUGAUACCGCCCAAGAGUUCAUAUCGACGGCGGUGUUUGGCACCUCGAUGUCGGCUCAUCACAUCCUGGGGCUGAAGCCGGUCCCAAGGGUAUGGCUGUUCGCCAUUUAAAGUGGUACGCGAGCUGGGUUUAGAACGUCGUGAGACAGUUCGGUCCCUAUCUGCCGUGGACGUUUGAGAUUUGAGAGGGGCUGCUCCUAGUACGAGAGGACCGGAGUGGACGAACCUCUGGUGUUCCGGUUGUCACGCCAGUGGCAUUGCCGGGUAGCUAUGUUCGGAAAAGAUAACCGCUGAAAGCAUCUAAGCGGGAAACUUGCCUCAAGAUGAGAUCUCACUGGAACCUUGAGUUCCCUGAAGGGCCGUCGAAGACUACGACGUUGAUAGGUUGGGUGUGUAAGCGCUGUGAGGCGUUGAGCUAACCAAUACUAAUUGCCCGUGAGGCUUGACCAU
rnacentral:rRNA from 1 species